CUGAUAGGCCGGAGAGACCCUGCAGUGGUUGGCCGGAAAGAGUCCAGCUGCCUGAUUGGCCGCUCGGCACCUGCAAUGCGUCAAGGCGCGGCGGGCGUGGCGGGCUCCGCGUGAAUGGUCCUGGUUGGCGGGGCAACCGGCGGAUUUCCGGAGGGAGCGGCUCCGCCUAUGGCUGCCAUCUUUACUAGGGGCAAGGCGCGCAGGCCAGGUCCCGGGUCUUUCACGGCAUUGACCGGUCGGGAAAGGCUCUGCGAAAGUAGUUUUGUUUGGGUUCACGCCUUUAUUUAUUUUUUUUCUUGGCCGUGGGCUGUUUCUGAACAGGUCCCAGGGAUGUGGAUGGAGAGGGAAAGCUAAGUGCUCCGGGCUAGCGCCCUGGGCUGAAUUGGCCACCGGGGAAAGAGGGCGUCUGUGGAGAGAUUUUGAUAUCGCCGUAAUAAAGCUGCUUGGUGUGAGUCCUGGGCUAGGCACCCGGGGACGUGAUUCGAUUCUGUCUCUACAAGCAGAAAUGAGACUCGCUGUUUGGGCAUCUUGCUCGAGCUGCAGGGUCCUUCUGGAAAUGUUCAUGUGCGUGCAUCCGGUUUUCAUCCCUCUCUGAUGCCCACUCCCGCUAAAAAAGAAUUUAAUUAUCAAAAAAAAAGUCGUAGUUCAGGACUUAGCCUCCUUUCUGUGGUGAAAGAAUGAAAAAAAAAAAAAAAGUUCCCUGGUUGGAUUAGAAAUCUGGGAAACGGAAAAGAGGUCACGGUUGUUUUAGUUCAGUGGGUGGUGAUAUCUUGGUUUUAUUUGAGGUGCGUAGGUGCACAUUCGGUAGAUCCUGGAUAUCCAAAGGUGAAUUCUGGAACGCCUUGGUGUGGGUGUCGCCAUGGCUACAGGGAGAGGGGCGGCAGUGAAUUGUGAGACCAAUAAAGCUGACAGGGCCUGGCCUCUGUUGGCCUGAGUUCUUGGUAAUUGACUGCCCUGGUUCGUGUAUCCAGGUUUUCUCCAUUCCUGUACCCCUCCAAGAUUCCUGGAUUGAUCAACAUCUACUUACAUGGCUCUGAGGAUUGCAUGAUCUGUGAAUGUGUCAAGACUGCAAACUGUAGAAGCACGGAUACAACGUCAGGCUGUUACUAAGUACUAAACCUGUACAUGAGGAGGGAAGACCGCCCACAUGGAAAGAACAGAUAAACUCAGAUCUAAAAUAAACCUUAAAUAAUA